rnacentral:miRNA from 1 species
AGGGGCUGAACAAUUCCAGA